rnacentral:rRNA from 1 species
UCCGUAGGCGGGUAAUUAAGUCAGAGGUGAAAUCCCACAGCUUAACUGUGGAACUGCCUUAGAUACUGGUUAUCUUGAGUUUUAGUGAAGUAGAUAGAAUGUGUAGUGUAGGGUGAAAUGCAUAGAUAUUACACAGAAUACCGAUUGCGAAGGCAGUCUACUAACUAACAACUGACGCUAAUGGACGAAAGCGUGGGGAGCGAACAGGAUUAGAUACCCUGGUAGUCC